rnacentral:misc_RNA from 1 species
GAUGAAGAACGUAGCGAAAUGCGAUACGUAAUGUGAAUUGCAGAAUUCAGUGAAUCAUCGAAUCUUUGAACGCAUAUUGCGCUCUCUGGUAUUCCGGAGAGCGUGCUUGUUUGAGUAUCAGUAAACACCUCAACUUCCAUAUCUUUUUUGAAAUGGGAGUUGGACUUGAGUGAUCCCAACGCUUUUCCUCACCGAAAAGUGGCGGGUUACUUGAAAUGCAGGUGCAGCUGGACUUUUCUCUGAGCUAUAAGCAUAUCUAUUUAGUCUGCCUAAAAACAGAUUAUUACCUUUGCUGCAGCUAACAUAAAGGAGAUUAGUUCUUGUGCUGACUGAUGCAGGAUUCACAAAGACAGGCUUCGGCCGACUUUGUAAACUCGAUCUCAAAUCAAGUAAGACUACCCGCUGAACUUAAGCAUAUCAAUAAGCGGAGGA